AGGCUCUACAGUGAGCGAAUCGUGUACCACGCUGUGUGGGGUUUCGGGACACACGUAUAACACCAACUUCCUUGGUCCAUGCAAGGCUCCGCAGACUUCCCGACAAGCAUGCUUCGACGACGACCAUGUGCUGUGCUUCUGGAAGCAAUGUGAAAAGAAAUACAGCGAGAUAAAAGCGCUGUCCCGUCGUAACUGGAACAUACCAGACAUCCAUUACGACGAAAUCGAUGCCUGUGCUAAAUAUCCAUGACGUGGCGUUACUCUGCUCAAGAUUACCUGGUCGUGUCGUGCUUUCUACUUCGAUUCGACUAAGU